rnacentral:miRNA from 1 species
ACAUCACAACAAGUCUAUACA